AUUGAACGCUGGCGGCAGGCCUAACACAUGCAAGUCGAGCGAGCGGCGGACGGGUGAGUAAUGCCUGGGAAUUGCCCAGUAGAGGGGGAUAACCGUUGGACACGACUGCUAACACCGUAUCCGAUUGGAUUGCCCAGGUGGGAUUAGCUAGUUGGGGGGGUAAUGGCUCCCCAAGGCCACGAUCCCUCGCUGGUCUGAGAGGAUGAUCAGCCACACUGGAACUGAGACACGGUCCAGACUCCUACGGGAGGCAGCAGUGGGGAAUAUUGCACAAUGGGGGAAACCCUGAUGCAGCCAUGCCGCGUGUGUGAAGAAGGCCUUCGGGUUGUAAAGCACUUUCAGCGAGGAGGCGUUACUCGCAGAAGAAGCACCGGCUAACUCCGUGCCAGCAGCCGCGGUAAUUC
rnacentral:rRNA from 1 species